CCACAUGCUGUCCAAUGUCUGUCCAGUGGGAAACAGCCCCUUCCAGGCCCCACAGCCCAUCUCUGCCCUUGAGGACCAUCGCACUACAGCUCCUCCAGCCCAUCGACUGCCUGUGCCCCAAGAGGAACUCCUGGAGCAGAUGUCUCCUCCAGCCCUGUCUGCACCAUCCCUGAUGUCGUGGCCACAGCCCACACUGGAGCUGCUCAUGACCACCUGCCUGGGAAGCCCCUUCCCCCGGAUCAGGACAGUGGUGCUGAGGGGUCAGGGGAUAUCAUCAGCUCUCCCCAUUCUCAUCCCCCAGAGCCAUUCAUGGCCACAGUCUUUGUCCACACCCCUGGCCCACCUCUGCUCCUGUUGCUUUGACACAGUACCAGCUUCUAUCAGCAGCUCAUCAGCACGGCCAGGCCAUGGAGAUCUGGGAGGUGACAAAGAGGCAUGGGGCCAGUGCACAGCCUGGGGGCAUGGGGAGCACAGGCCUGCAGCUGGGCUGUGAGAAUACGGUUUGCCUUCCCGGCAGGAAAAAUAUCCACGUCAGGGCCAAUCCCCCAGUUAAGUAGCAGAUCAGAGUAGAGACGUAUAUCUGCGCCAUGCAGGGCCAGGCAUGCCGGGCAUAAGUGGCACCGAGGGGCACUCCUGUCAGGGACAGUGGAUGAAGCCGAUGGCCAGGUGGCACGUCCACCUACAACGGGGAUAGAAAAGAGGGAUCAGUUCACCCACGCUGCCCUGAUUGUCAAGGUGCUGCUGCAGACGUGAGGGACCCCUUCCCACAGUCAGUGGGAUGGCCUCAUUGCCACCCAGGUCCCAACAGAACUCAAGCCAUAGACCAGCCCACCCCAAGCAGGAACCUCAGGGCCCUCCCCAAGACCUCAUUGCCAGACCCAUUGGCUGCCAGGACCACUAGCAUCAGCAGACCUGCCCAGGCGGAGCCAUGCUAAGGAGAAGUGUGUAGCCACAUCUCUCACAGUCCCUUUCUCCUGCCACUGCUCUCAAUACUGCAUGCUCAGGGCCUCGCUGCUGGCUCCAUGCAGCCCUGUUGCUGCUGCCUCUUCCUCCUCUGCGUCUUCCACCUCUCUGGGACAUGGGCAGACCUGGAUGGUAAGUGACAGCUCUGGCUCAUCCACACCUGCUCCCAUGCCCCUUUGGGACCCCAUGGACAACAGGCUUUCUGCUCCCCGCCUGCCUUGGGCACUUUCCUCCUCACCCCUUCCUGCUCCACGCACCUCCUGCAGCAAUACACCCACCAGAGGUACAUGCAGGGGGUGGGAGCUCUACCUGGCAAGGAUGCAGGGGGUUUAUGCAAGGCCUGCAGGUUCCUGCAACCCUGACAACCCAUCCCUUAGCCCCCACACUUUUCCCAGCCCUCUACUCCCACUCCCGUUUCCCCCUGAGGCUCCUUUCUCAUGUAGGGUCCAUCACUGUUCGGCUGCUCCAGACCUCCUUUUUCCAAAACGCAUCCUUUGUGGAUACAGAGGGGCUGGGACUGCUGCAAGAUAUCGAGCUUGGUUCUCUUGAUAAGCACACCUGGUCCAUCCGCUUCUACCAGCCCUGGGUGCACCCAGCCCUGCCCCGCAGUGACUGGGACACCAUUCAGAACAUGAUCAGGAUCUAUUUGCAGCAGUUCAUCCACCUGAUCAGCGAAGGUGCAAUUGAGAAGAAUGUGCCCUACCCGUUUGUGGCCCAGUGCAUGGCAGGCUGUGAGAUGUACCCCAACAGGACCUCGCGAGCCUUCGCCUAUGUGGCCUACAAUGGCCAGGACUUCCUCAGCUUUGACAUGGACAAUGCCACCUGGGUUGUCUCCCAAGACACCAGCCUCUCACGGUACGUCCAGGCUUCUCUCCAGAACUAUACCGCCUUCAGUGAGCUAGUGGAAGUCUUCUUCAACGAGACCUGCGUUGAUGACAUGGAAGUGUUAGUGCACUAUGGGAAGGCAGCUCUGGAGAGACAAGAGCCUCCCCUGGCCACAGUCUUCGCCCACACGCCCAGCCCAGCCCAGCUCCUGCUGGUUUGCCGUGUCACCGGCUUCUACCCACGGUCCAUCAGCGUGGCGUGGCUGCGGGAUGGCCAGGAGGUGCCACCAGGCCCGGCUCUCAACACCAGUGCCAUCCUGCCCAAUGCUGACCUCACCUACCAGCUCCGCAGCGUCCUGGCUGUGUUUCCCCAUGACGGGCACAGCUACGCCUGCCGUGUGCGCCACCGCAGCCUGGGCACCCGCACCCUCCUCAUCCCGUGGGUGUCUGCUUGUGUUUCCCAGGGAAUGCAGAGAUUGUCCUGAUCGCAGGGCUCGGGGCUGGGCUGCUGGCAGCCUUGGUGGCGGCAGCUGUCAUAGCACAUUGGGUGUGGAGAUGCAGAAAACACCAGCAGAUGGAAGUAUCCGAGUCCAGGAACUCCAUCCUGAGCAAAGAAGCUUAGCCCUGAAGGGAGCCAACAGCCCCUCCCUCCUUCCACCACACUCCCAGGGACAGAAACUCUACCUUCUAGUGCUUUGACAACAUUUGGAGCACUUCCAAGUGUAAGAUCAACUUGGCUCAGAGGCACAGGGGGGAAGGCCUGGGGGGACUUGUUACCCAAUUCAAUUUGCUAAGCAGACAAGUAUACGAAUCUAAGACCUUCUCACUCAUUGCGCACAAUCAUCUCUUACCUUGUGGCACCGCGCGUGCACCCACUGAAGCUCUUUACGGCACCCCAUUGCCCAGUGGCAAUUUCUCCCAGUUCUGGUACAAUAACACAUUCAUCAGUAAGCAGUAAGGUGUGCCCUUCUACUAUUGCUUUCUAGUAUUUCCUUUUCCUGAAAGCUGCUUUUAUUAACCAUAUUCCAGAAGUAUUUGUGCUGAGACUGAACUGUUCUACACAGACUAACAGCACCUGCUGCAAAGGAUUUUACAAAGUGCUGGGUAACACUGAAACUCUGAUGUCAUCCAUGGGAGCUGCAGAUGUGUGUAAAAUGAAAAUUAAAACAUU